ensembl:lncRNA
GGACAAUCUGCAUACCAAUCGACUCAUCUGUGCACACAGGCUGAGAACAAUGCAGGGAGAGAUGCGGAAAGGCCUGUGCUGCGAUGACAAUGCUUCCAGUGUGCUGACCUCGUCAGCGAAGCAAACAAAAGUACAGUCUCUUUGGAGGAGACAUUAAUGAGUCAUUAAGAACGGGUACAGCUGCGUGGUGCAAGCACUUCGUUAAAAAUAUUCUUCUCAUUUUGUGUCUGUCCCGUAAUUAUAAUGGAAGUAUUGUGCAAGUCAGCCAGUCAGCGCAUGCAGAAAAAUAUUUAUGUUUUACAAUAUCUGCACGGUUUUUAAAGUGCAUUGUCAAGUGUGGCUGCUGUACCGCGUUUUGCCUGUUGUCGCCUCUUACUGACAGCCUCAGCUUUAAAACGCCCUGCACCCGCGUUAUGACAGUCACCGCUCUGUCUCCGUACGUGCCUGGUGCACAUCCCGGCCACCAGGGAAGGCGCACUGUGGAGCUCUGCCGUCUGCCCUGCUGAAUUUGGGGAAAACAAGGCUGUACGCUCCUCCAUCGCGAGGCCAUGGCUCCUGCUCCCUCCUCUCCUCAUGGUCAGGCCAGCCCGUGGGGCCCACGGCCACAGUGCCCACCCAGGCAGGAGACCCCAGAGCAGAGUAAGGAAACCCAAUGUGCCUUUGAGAGAACCGUUUAGAAACUGCCCUCAACUGUCUUUAAAGCUGGAGAAGUCCCUGAAGGUCACCCAAGGUGCUCACUGUGGGGACGAGGAGAGUGGAUCUGGGGAGGGGAGAGGCCGGCUCGGGGCUGCAUCAGGGGCCCCCAUUUAAUCCACGUGCAUGGAGCAGUUCCUGAGGAUGCUGGGGGCAGGACCACCAUCAACAGGAGCGAGCGGCUGGAGGGACGGGAGGCAGCAUUGGGGACCACACGUCCCCCAUCUGUUACAGACCCACGGGCGCUUCCAGCCCCCAAAGGACGCUGUCCUUGGUAAGUGUCUCAAAACUAAGUUUCCUUAAGAAAAGAAGUUGGGAAUGUGAGCUUCUUUCAUGACAUCGUCAGGCUCCAGGGACUGCCUGCCUUCUCACCCAGACGGAGGCAGGACUGCCCCCAGUUAGCUCUGGGCUGGUACGGGCAGGAUGGAACGCACCACCGGGCUGGGCCAGCAUCUUCGUGUCCUGCUCCCAGGAGACCCCACAUCUGUGGGUGACUCUUCAGGGCCUGCUGGUCCAACCGAGGCAGCUGGGGUGGCGCACCCUGUCAGGCCUCUUCCUUGAGCUUCCGUCCUCGGUGACCUCUGAGGAAGGUGGAAGGCGGAGGGGGAGCAGGUGGUCUGAGCAGGCAGCUUCCUGGCAGGAAGGGGGGCUGUGGAGGCCCCACCCCCUUUCUGGCACCUUCUGCCCACUCUGCCAGCGAGUCACAUCCCGGAAGGCCGUCCCUGGCCACUGUCUCAUCAUUCCUCAACGCGGACGUGGUCAGGACAAGGUGAUGGAGCCCAGGCAUUCGGACUCUGCUCGGGUGGGACUGGAGCCAGCGCCCGUGAAAGGACCCUCUGACACCGGGAAGGGUUCGGAUGCAGCCGGGCAUUAGCGGAUGGACAGGCUUCUGUUCACUUUGUUAGUGUUUCAACGACAUUGUAGGAUGUAAAAGGAAAACGCCCUUAUCUGUUAGCAAGAAAACGUUUACAGAAAUAGUGAGGCAUCUUGGACGGUGCUAGAAUGCUCGCAAGCACAGCAGAAGGGCGUUUGUGGAGAAAAACAAGACGGUGAAACGACCGGAAUUGAAACUGGGCGAUGGAGGGUGUACCCAAUUCCGCUGCUUUUGGGUCAGUUAGAAAUUCCCACAAUAAGACAUGAAGAAAAAAAUGUACACCACUCUCCCAUGGAGUCCUGGAUCUUGAAAAGGGCUUUAAAGAUAGAAGAACUUUUCAACUUAUCCCAUUUCCCACGGGGGAAACGCUCAAUUUGGGGAGGCCAGGAAGGCGCGGGCCAGGGGGAGCAGGAGGCAGGGCCGCCUGGCUCACCGGAGGCACAGGUGCUCUACCUGCCAUGACCCCGCGGUGACGUACCUGUCAACACUCUGAAGGGCUGGAGCUCAGCUUCCUGCCAGCAGUACAGCAGCAGGGCCAAGAGCGCCAGCAUUCCUCUACUUGCUGCCAUGCUCCCUCCCGCUGAAGGAGGGAGAGGAGGACCUCCUCCUGAAGGCCCCUCUGCUACCCGCCUCUGUCUCCAGGAUACUGUGGAAUGUCAGGGACCUGUGACCUCACGGCAGGAAGUGAGGGUCCUGCCCUCAGUGGGGAGAAUGGUGCCCAGGGUCUCUGACUGGGAAGGCUGGCUAGGGGGAUCCCCUCCACUUGCUCCCAUGGCCCGUUCACGUGCUUUCCUCGUCCUGCAGACCCUGAGGCCUGAAGGGGUAGGACGUUAAUCAGGACUCUGUGGAGUGGCAGAACCCAACAAAAUCUGCUCACAGGAAAAGAGAUGUAUUGGAAGGAGGCUGGAGAGCUCACUGUGUGACACGUAGCCAUCCAGGAAUGACACUACCAUCCACAGUCACCAUCCAGGAGGAAACUACCAUCCACAGUCACCAUCCCGGAAGGAAACUACCAUCCACAGUCACCAUCCAGGAAGGAAACUACCAUCCACAGUCACCAUCCAGGAGGAAACUACCAUCCACAGUCACCAUCCAGGAAUGAAACUACCAUCCACAGUCACCAUCCAGGAGGAAACUACCAUCCACAGUCACCAUCCAGGAAUGACACUACCAUCCACAGUCACCAUCCAGGAAUGACACUACCAUCCACUGUCACCAUCCAGGAAGGAAACUACCAUCCACAGUCACCAUCCAGGAAGUGACACUACCAUCCACAGUCACCAUCCAGGAGGAAACUACCAUCCACUGUCACCAUCCAGGAAGGAAACUACCAUCCACUGUCACCAUCCAGGAAUGAUACUACCAUCCACAGUCACCAUCCAGGAAGGAAACUACCAUCCACAGUCACCAUCCAGGAGGAAACUACCAUCCACAGUCACCAUCCAGGAAGGAAACUACCAUCCACAGUCACCAUCCAGGAAGGAAACUACCAUCCACAGUCACCAUCCAGGAAGGAAGUUACCAUCCACAGUAAUGAUCCAAGUAGUUAAACAACACCUCUGCAAUCAUCAGCCCCAGUUGGCCUGGACCUGAUCAAUAACUGUCUUUUUUCCUUUUUUUUUUUUUUGUGGUGAAGAAAAUUGGUUCUGAGCUAACAUCUGUUGCCAAUCUUCCUCUUUUUGCUUGAGGAAGAUUUUUGCUAAUCUAACAUCUGUGCCCAUCCUCCUCUACUCUGUAUGCAGCCACAACAUGGCUUGAUGAGUGGUGUGUAAGUCAGCAGAUGGCAUCUGAACCUGUGAAUACCGGGCCACUGAAGUGGAGCACAUGAACCCAACAACUAUGCCCCCAUUUUUGGGCUCGCCCCCAAUUUUCCUGUUUUUGUCUAUACUUCCAACAUAGGACCAACCAGAGAAAGUUGGAGUGCUGGUGGAAGGAAGUUCCAGGCAUUGUCUUGUAAGGGUGUGGGAAGCAAAGUUGGAGGGUUCCACCUGGGCAGGUGUGUUGUAAACAGUCACUUAAAACAACAUCAGUUUAUAAUCUUACCCGUUCUGGAGGCUGGAAGUCCAGAUUGGGUGUCACUGGGCUGAAAUCAAGCUGUCGACAGCGCUCCGUGACUCCUGCAGGCUCUAUAGGAUCUGUUCCCUUGCCUCUUCCAGCCUUUAGAGGCUACCACACUGCUUGGACGGCGGUCUCCUUCCUCCAUCUUCAAAGUCUGUCCUGUCUCUGAUUCUCUCUUCUGCCUCCCUCUGCCACUUCUGUAGGCCCUUGUCACUGCACUGCGCUCUGUGUUGGUUAAUUUUAUAUGUCAGCUUGGCUGGGCCAUGGUGCCCAGAUAUAGGGUCAAAUCUUAUUCUGGAUGUCUCUGUGAGGGUGUUUUUGAUGAGAUUAAUGUUUAAGCUGGUGGACUUUGAGCAAGGCAGAUUGCUCUCCAUAAUGUGGGUGGGCUUCAUACAAUAGGUUGAAGGCCUAAAUAGAAUAAAAAGACUGACUUCUUCCAAGGAAGAGGAACUUCUGCCCCAAGAUGGCCUUCAGACUUGAACUGCAACAUUGGCUCUUCCCUGGGUCUCCAGCCUGCCAGCCCACCGUCCAGAUUUUGCACUUGCCAGCCUCCAUAAUCACAUGAGCCAAUUCCUUAACAUAAACCUCUCUUUCUACGUGUAUACACCACUUACUGUCUCUGUUUCUCUGGAGAACCGUAACUAAUACAGGCCCACGUGAAUAAUCCAGGAUAAUCUGUCCAUCUCAAAUUCAGAUGGUUAGCAAUUUUAAUUCCAUCUGCAGCCUGUUACUCUUUGCCACAGAACUCAAAAUAUUCACAGGGGGGGCCAGCCCUGGGCCGAGUGGUGAAGUUCACACGGUCUGCUUCAGCAGCCCAGGAUCUUGCCGGUUCAGAUCCUGGGCAUAGACAUGGCACCGCUCAUCAAGCCAUGCUGAGGCAGCGUCCCACAUAACAGAACCAGAGGCACUCACAACUAAGAUAUACAAUUAUGUACUGGGGGUCUUUGGAGAGAAGAAGAAGAAAAAAUAAAAAACAAGAUUGGCAACAGAUGUUAACUCAGGUGCCAAUCUUUAAAAAAAAAUAAUAUUCACAGUUUCUGGGGAUUACUGGCCUGGAUACAUGGACAUCUUUUGGACAACAAUGUCUUUUGCCCUUUUUCCAAUUGGAUUGCUUG